ensembl:ncRNA T11F9.28 ncRNA
UCAAAACGCGAGUCUUUCGCUCUUUUUGUGUUUCUCGCUCCCGCCGAUCGUAAUCUCCGACAAUUUUUAGGGCCUACUAAACAAAUUGCUUUUUUUGCGGGGAGCGGACACGGUGGACAGUUCCCGGUAUCGUCAUU